rnacentral:ncRNA from 1 species
UAGCGGGAAUGAAGUUCUCCCUUGGUGAAAACCAGAACUGCUGAUAUCUAUAAGGCUGAUGACUUCUACGAU